AGUGUGUGUAUAUAAUGCAGAGUGUGUGUGUAUAUAUUGCACAUUGUGUGUUUGUAUGAGUGUGUGUGGAUAUAAUGCAGACUGUGUGCAUUAUAUACACACUCUGCAUUAUAUACACACA